GGAUAACCUACCCUUAGGACUGGGAUAACCCUGGGAAACUGGGGCUAAUACCGGAUAGGCAAUUAUUCCUGCAAUGGUUUUUUGUUUAAAUGUUUUUUCGCCUAAGGAUGGGUCUGCGGCCGAUUAGGUAGUUGGUUAGGUAAUGGCUUACCAAGCCGUUGAUCGGUACGGGUUGUGAGAGCAAGAGCCCGGAGAUGGAACCUGAGACAAGGUUCCAGGCCCUACGGGGCGCAGCAGGCGCGAAACCUCCGCAAUGUGAGAAAUCGCGACGGGGGGACCCCAAGUGCCAUUCUUAACGGGAUGGCUUUUCAUUAGUGUAAAGAGCUUUUGGAAUAAGGGCUGGGCAAGACCGGUGCCAGCCGCCGCGGUAACACCGGCAGCUCUAGUGGUAGCAGUUUUUAUUGGGCCUAAAGCGUCCGUAGCCGGUUUAAUAAGUCUCUGGUGAAAUCCUGUAGCUUAACUGUGGGAAUUGCUGGAGAUACUAUUAGACUUGAGACCGGGAGAGGUUAGAGGUACUCCCAGGGUAGAGGUGAAAUUCUGUAAUCCUGGGAGGACCGCCUGUUGCGAAGGCGUCUAACUGGAACGGUUCUGACGGUGAGGGACGAAAGUUAGGGGCGCGAACCGGAUUAGAUACCCGGGUAGUCCUAACUGUAAACGAUGCGGACUUGGUGUUGGGGGUGGCUUUGAGCUGCUCCAGUGCCGAAAGGGAAGCUGUUAAGUCCGCCGCCUGGGAAGUACGUCGCAAGACUGAAACUUAA
rnacentral:rRNA from 1 species